rnacentral:rRNA from 1 species
AUUGAACGCUGGCGGCAGGCUUAACACAUGCAAGUCGAACGAGUGGCGGACGGGUGAGUAAUGUCUGGGAAACUGCCUGAUGGAGGGGGAUAACUACUGGAAACGGUAGCUAAUAACGCAUACCAUCGGAUGUGCCCAGAUGGGAUUAGCUAGUAGGUGGGGUAACGGCUCACCAAGGCGACGAUCCCUCGCUGGUCUGAGAGGAUGACCGGCAAAACUGGAACUGAGACACGGUCCAGACUCCUACGGGGGGCAGCAGUGGGGAAUAUUGCACAAUGGGCGAAAGCCUGAUGCAGCCAGGCCGGGUGUAUGAAGAAGGCCUUCGGGUUGUAAAGUACGUUAAGCGGGGAGGCGUUACCCGCAGAAGAAGCACCGGCUAACUCCGUGCCAGCAGCCGCGGUAAUAC